GGGAAUGUAGCUCAGUGGUAGAGCAUUUGCCCAGUAUGCAUAAAGCUCUGGGUUCAAUUCCCAGAGAUACUA
rfam:Cavia porcellus supercont2_12 genomic scaffold, whole genome shotgun sequence.